rnacentral:rRNA from 1 species
AGUGAACGCUGGCGGCAGGCCUAACACAUGCAAGUCGAACGGCCGCACAGUAAGAGCUUGCCCCUACGGGUGGCGAGUGGCGGAUGAGUGAGGAAUACAUCAGCAUCUACUUAUUCGUGGGGGAGAACGUAGGGACACUUACGCUACUAGCGAAUACGAUCUACGGGUGAAAGCAGGAGAUCUUCGGACCUUGCGCGAUACAAAGAGCCGAUGUCGGAUUAGCUAGUUGGCGGGGUAAAGGCCCACCAAGGCGACGAUGCGUAGCUGGUCUGAGAGGAUGAUCAGCCACACUGGAACUGAGACACGGUCCAGACUCCUACGGGAGGCAGCAGUGGGGAAUAUUGGACAAUGGGCGCAAGCCUGAUCCAGCCAUGCCGCGUGGGUGAAGAAGGUCUUCGGAUUGUAAAGCCCUGUUGUUGGGAAAGAAAAGCAGCAGGUUAAUACCCCGCUGUUCUGACGGUACCCAAAGAGUAAGCACCGGCUAACUUCGUG